rnacentral:rRNA from 1 species
UACGUAGGUGGCAAGCGUUGUCCGGAAUUAUUGGGCGUAAAGAGCGUGUAGGCGGCCAGACAGGUCCGUUGUGAAAACUCGAGGCUCAACCUCGAGAUGUCGAUGGAAACCGUCUGGCUAGAGUCCGGAAGAGGAGUGUGGAAUUCCUGGUGUAGCGGUGAAAUGCGCAGAUAUCAGGAAGAACACCUAUGGCGAAGGCAGCACUCUGGGACGGUACUGACGCUGAGACGCGAAAGCGUGGGGAGCGAACAGG